rnacentral:rRNA from 1 species
AACCCACUAUUAUAAUAUUAGACGGAAAGACCCCAAGAGCUUUUCUUAUAGUUAGAUUUGUUUGGGGUAAAUGUAUAUUUUUCAUUUAUUUUUGGAUCCUUUAGGAUAAAGGGUAAAGUUACCUUGGGGAUAACUGAGUAAAGAGCAGGGAGAGGUCCUAUUGAUCUGCUUGUUACUACCUCGAUGUUGGCUUGUUGAACCUUUCUGGUGUAGAGGCUAGAAAAGGAAGUCUGUUCGACUUUUAAAUCAUCAUGAGCUGAGUUAAGACCGGUGUAAGCCAGGUUGGUUCUUAUCUAUAAUAGAUUCUGGUUAGUACGAAAGGAUUAUCAGGGUACAGUUUUCUGUAAAUUUGAGAACAGUAAGAAUAUG